rnacentral:lncRNA from 1 species
GAAGAGGAUGCAUCCUGAAGACAGAGGUCGAGAAGCUUGCGGAGGCAGGAAGAUCGGGUACAAGGUGAGAAUCUCUAUAAACCCAUGUUUGCUGUUGUCUUGGCAGGCCUUGCCCCUCACUGCUCCAUCACCAGAGCCUCCAUCUUCCUAGAUCCCACUGUUCCGUGAUGAACAUAUCCCUUGCCACCGAACGCUCCAGUUGUGGUACACUCACAAUUCCAAAUGAUAGGGUACAUAUUUUGGAUAUAUAUAAUUCAGAUCUCUGUGUUCUAUCAAUCUUACUAAGACGUUUUGUAUCCUUACAGGAUAUCACAAUUGCAAGUAAGAGUUGAAGGAAACCAUGUUCCAGCAGAUAAAAGUCUACAUAAGCUGGACUGAUGUUGUUAUUCCGAUCAUGGUUUUGUUUCUGCAGGCUUGACGGAUUAACUCCUUGGUGUACAUAAAGGCAAGGGACGUAGUUAGUUGUCUUCCAAAUUCUGACGGUUACUCUGGGUUUCAAGGCUUGUUUAGUGUGGCAUAUGGUGCUCCUAAGUCAUGCAAUGGAUGCACAAUAUGUAUCAUUCUGUACUGGGUAUGUUCUUGGCAUCUGGUUGUGCUUUUGCUCUAUGGUAAAUGAAAGGCCAAAGAAUGAAAGAAAACUUUUGUCUAGCUCUUUGUCUUCUAUCAUGUGAUUCUGCUGUUGAGGCAUGAUUGUGAUCAGAUAUUCUUGCUUCCUUCGAACACCAUUUUGUUGAAUGAUUCUGCACAAAUGUGAUGCCAUAUAUGUUAAAUAUGUGCAUUCUUUUAGGUAAUAUCCAAAUGAAACUGACAAAAGUACCGGAGUAUUUUCUUUCUUUGGUAAAUAAAAGUACCAUGCCAAAAGAUGUUUUGUCUUACUAAGAUUAUUGAAGGAAAAAACAUCUUCUGAUUUCUUGAAACUAUCAUUUAGUAUAUAAAAGUUACAUAAUAAUAUUAGUAAUGUUUAGUGUUAAUCUUCAUAAUGAGUUAUGUACUGUCUUGGGGUAUUCUGAAAUAAUAAUAAUAUCAGUUAUAUUGUAGGAUAUUUUCUAAUAGCAAUUGUUGUACGUACAUUAUCGCUGAAAGAUUCUAAGAUAGUUAAUAUCUUCUUUUGAUAGAUAAUAUUUUGUAGUUAGAUAAUAUUUCAUUGAUAUUUUCAAACUUUUUUCCGUUUUGCAGAUUGCAGAGAUUUUAGAAGUAAUUAUUUGAUGGCUUUUGAGACUUUGUUUCUAUAUCAUCUUCUAGAUAGCCAAACUGAAUCGCUCCGUAGACUAGCAGAUCCACUAAAUUGGUGCAGUGGAUGCUAAUUUCCAAGGCAACACCAAUAUGAGCAUAAGGACCAUCAAAUGUAUCAUGUAUGAUUUGUUCAAGGAAUACUAGAUUAUCCUCCCCGCAGAAAGGACU